ensembl:lncRNA
CGAGGGGGGUGCAGGGAAGGAACGGCGGUGCGGUUGCGCGCAACAACAAGCGGAGUGCCGGUUAUCACACUAGGGGGCGAGCGAGAGCAGUGGGGCGGAAGUGAGACCGUUAAAUCAAACCACCGAGGAAGACGGGAACGUUAAACAGUGUAAUACGACUACUGGACGCGAGGGGCGAGCGAGAGCGAAAUGCAGGAAGUUGAGCCGCUCACUAAAGUUAAGGUAUAUCACCUCUAGUGUAUUAACAGUAAUACAAAUCAAUCAAUCAAAUGUAGGUAAAUUAUGCUUGAUAAUUGAAUAAACUUAAAGAAAAAUAACUGCAUAAAUCACAUCUCCAUUAAUGGGUUUGUGUCUCAAAAAGACGAAGCUUCGCACAGAAAGUUGUGGUACAAGCUGGUCUUUGCCUUGUAGGCUCUUGUUCAGUGAGUUCAGAUGACCAGUAAGAUAAACUAGAAAGGCAAUAAGGGAAUAAAACCGCUUCAGCACGGAGCCGCGACUAAGCCAGCGCACGUCACAAUGAUAGAGUACGUCCCCGUAUUCAGCAUCGACAUCAGAUAGGAAAGCUUAAUUCUCUGUGGUAGAGCCCUCGUGCUCAAAUUAUGUUGACAGUUUUCACAACUGUGGUCAUCACAUCGCCAAGCUGGACUGUCUUGGCACAGAGAGCUUCUUGGUGGAUGAUACAGUGCAAUUUUACAGCCUCGCCUCCACUCUCUGGCACCUUGGCGCACACCAUAGAUGCCAUUCCUUUGGGCUCGCCUGUCAUAGCGGGAGCCCCGUCCGUUGCAACUCCACACAGCUCGUCCCAUUUAAGUUCCAUCUUGUCAAUUGCACCUGACGCGGCUUCAAAAAUGUUCAAGCCCCCAUUGUUGUGCCCUUUAGACUCCGAAGAUCAAGCAGCUCCUCCGUAAUGCAAAAGUUAUCGUCAACUCCCCGCAAAGAAAUGAACAGUUGUGCGGCGUCUGUUGCAUCUUUCAUCACAUGCAAUGGAGUAAAAGUCAAAAGCACAAGCUUUAUGUGACACUUGAUUCUGUAUGUUAGCUGACAAGUCUUCCAUUCAACGCACAAUUGUGUUUGUGGACAUGCUCACGUUGUUGAAUUCCUGCAUCUUUUCCGGGCACAUUAUUCCAGCGACUUUAAUGAGGCACUGUUUAACCAAGUCACCGUCUGAGAAAGCUUUCCCGCGGCGCGCUAUGAGUUGAGCUACCUCAUAGCUAGCUAUUGUAGCGUUUUCUUGUGUUUGUUAGCAGGGUAAAAGUACUGUUGUUGAGCCUGCAGGUUAGCUGCCAUGUGCUGGACUUUGUCCUCUCGCUCAGCAGCAGUGUAGGACGUGAAGGUCGGAGGCUUGGUUUCGUAGUGUCGUCGCACAUUGGACUCUUUCAUCACUGCAACCGUUUCAUUGCAAAUCAAACAGACACACUUCUCCUUGACCUCUUUGAAGAAAUAUUCAUUUUCCCACCGUGUUUGAAAUGUUCUGCAUUCACUUGCUAUCUUGCGUU